AUUGAACGCUGGCGGCAGGCUUAACACAUGCAAGUCGAACGAGUGGCGGACGGGUGAGUAAUGCUUGGGAAUCUAGCUUAUGGAGGGGGAUAACUACGGGAAACUGUAGCUAAUACCGCGUACCAUAGGAUGAGCCCACGUGGGAGUAGGUAGUUGGUGGGGUAAAGGCUCACCAAGGCGACGAUCUCUAGCUGGUCUGAGAGGAUGACCAGCCACACUGGGACUGAGACACGGCCCAGACUCCUACGGGAGGCAGCAGUAGGGAAUAUUCCGCAAUGGGGGCAAGCCUGACCCAGCCAUGCCGCGUGUAUGAAGAAGGCCUUCGGAUUGUAAAGUACUUUCGGUCGGGAGGCGUUACCGACAGAAGAAGCACCGGCUAACUCCGUGCCAGCCGCCGCGGUAAUUC
rnacentral:rRNA from 1 species